CGUCGUCGUCUUUUCCAAGAGGUACCCAGAUUUCCGAUGGUGCCUGAGGCUGAGGGAGCUGUCGAAGAUCAUGAGGUGCCGAGAAGACCAAGAGGGCAUAAUAGUCUAUCCAAUAUUCUACGACGUUGAUCCUUCUAACGUCAGGAAACAGAGUGGUGGUUUUGGGGGCAUUUUGGAAGCAUGACAGGGAUGAAGAUUCAGAUGACAUCGAGCAGUGGAGAAAGGAUCUCAAGGCUUCUUCAGAUUUGGGUGGCCAGAAUCUUAAAACCUCGGCGGACGGACGUGAAGGAUUGUCUAUCGAGAAAAUUGUUGGGGAAAUCGGGGAACUACUGAAAACAACAGACUUAAAACAAGUCAAGUGCUCUAGUUCGAAUGGAUUUUUGCGUGCAAGAAUUUAGUUCUGAAUACUUAGAUGUUGGAGGUUCACCUAACGUUCAAAUAAUUGGAAUUUGGGGUAUGGGAGGUUAGGUAAAACAACGCAUGCAGGAGCUAUUUGUGGCGAAUAUCAUCGUUGUUAUAGUGGUCAAUGUUACCUUGAAAAGGUCAGGAGUAAAAAAGAAAAGUAUGGUUGCUCUGCAAGAACUUCUUCGAGAUGUUUUGAAACGGGUGGACAUUAAUGUGAGCAAUGUUGCCGAAGGAACCAAAGAGAUAGAGAAAAGACUUGGAAGAAUGAAGGUGCUUGUCGUCGUUGAUGACAUAGAUGAUGCGGACUAAUUACAUGAAUUGGCG